rnacentral:tRNA from 1 species
GCCUCGGUAGCGCAGUAGGCAGCGCGUCAGUCUCAUAAUCUGAAGGCCGUGAGUUCGAGCCUCACCCGGGGAU